GGUGACGUGCCUGAGUGGUCCAAAGGAACGGUUUGCAAAACCGUACAGCCGCCGGUUCAAAUCCGGCCGUCACCUCCA
rnacentral:tRNA from 1 species